GACGAACCAUGCAAACGUUAUUCGGAAUCACUGGGCUUAAAGCGUGCGUAGGCGGCUCAGAAAGUUGGGUGUGAAAUCCCUCGGCCUAACCGAGGAAUUGCGCCCAAACUACUGAGCUCGAGCGAGUUAGAGGUGAGCGGAACUCACGGUGGAGCGGUGAAUGACGUUGAUAUCGUGAGGAACACCGGAGGCGAAGCGGCUCACUGGGCUUGUCUGACGCUGAGGAGCGAAG
rnacentral:rRNA from 1 species